rnacentral:rRNA from 1 species
CUACCAUGCAGUCGAACGGAGGAUGCGGAGAAGUUUACUUCACCGCAAACUUAGUGGCGGACGGGUGAGUAACGCGUGGGUAACCUGCCUGUAAGACUGGGAUAACACCGGGAAACCGGUGCUAAUACUGGAUAAACUGUUAGAUAGGCAUCUAUCAUACAGCAAAGGAGUCAAAUCCGCUUACAGAUGGAUCCGCGUUCCAUUAGCUAGCUGGUGGGGUAAUGGCCUACCAGGGCGACGAUGGAUAGCCGGCCUGAGAGGGUGGUCGGCCACACUGGGACUGAGACACGGCCCAGACUCCUACGGGAGGCAGCAGUGGGGAAUAUUGCGCAAUGGGCGAAAGCCUGACGCAGCGACGCCGCGUGGGUGACGAAGGCCUUCGGGUCGUAAAACCCUGUUGCAGGGGACGAAGGAAGUGACGGUACCCUGCCAGAAAGCCCCGGCUAACUACGUGCCAGCAGCCGCGGUAAAACGUAGGGGGCGAGCGUUGUCCGGAAUUACUGGGCGUAAAGAGCUCGUAGGCGGUAAGACAAGUCAGCUGUGAAAGCCGACGGCUCAACCGCAGGAUUGCAGUUGAAACUGACUUACUUGAGGCAAGGAGAGGAAGAUGGAAUUCCCGGUGUAGCGGUGAUAUGCGUAGAUAUCGGGAGGAACACCAGUGGCGAAGGCGGUCUUCUGGCCUUGUCCUGACGCUGAGGAGCGAAAGCCAGGGUAGCGAACGGGAUUAGAUACCCCGGUAG